AUUGAACGCUGGCGGCAGGCCUAACACAUGCAAGUCGAGCGGAGCGGCGGAAGGGGGGGUAAUGCCUAGGAAUCUGCAUGGGAGUGGGGGAUAACGUCCGGAAACGGGCGCUAAUACCGCAUACGAGCAGAUGAGCCUAGGGGGGAUUAGCUGGUUGGUGGGGGAAUGGCUUACCAAGGCGACGAUCAGUCGCUGGUCUGAGAGGAUGAUCAGUCACACUGGAACUGAGACACGGUCCAGACUCCUACGGGAGGCAGCAGUGGGGAAGUUUGGACAAUGGGGGAAAGCCUGAUCCAGCCAUGCCGCGUGUGUGAAGAAGGUCUUCGGAUUGUAAAGCACUUUAGGUUGGGAGGCGUUACCUACAGAAUAAGCACCGGCUAACUUCGUGCCAGCAGCCGCGGUAAUAC
rnacentral:rRNA from 1 species